GAGGGUCUAGCUCAGUGGUAGAGUGUGUGUUUAGCAUGCACGAGGUCCUGGGUUCAAUCCCCAGGCCCUCCA
rnacentral:tRNA from 1 species